GCCCGAAUGGCGGAAUUGGUAGACGCGCACGACUCAAAAUCGUGUUCCUUCGGGAGUGAGAGUUCGAUUCUCUCUUCGGGCACCA
rnacentral:tRNA from 1 species